AUUAUUUUGGCAGAAUAGUGCAUUAAAUUUAGAAUUUAAUUAUAUAUAAAUAAAUUAUAUGGAUAAUA
rnacentral:tRNA from 1 species